rnacentral:rRNA from 1 species
AUGCCGAGGAGCACGCGACGCAGGUCCCGCAAGCACGACCGGGAGGAGCGGGACAGGUCGGACUCCGACGAGGAUCCGCGGCCACGGGAGCAGGAGGAUAGGAAGGCGUCCGCCGGCAGGGCCUCCAAGGGCUCGGAGGGCCACGAGAAGCGGCCGGCAAAGCUUCCCAUUGCGGGCGAGGCAUCUGGUUCGUCGGCCGAUGGGCAGAAGAAGAGGAAGAGCAGAGGGGAGAAGGAUAAUGCCACUGGGGAUGACAGGUGGAGUCACGGCGAAGAAGAUGAGAGGGUCAGUUACCAUGACUCGAAGAAGUCCAGGAGUUCAGAUGGCGAUGUGAAGGGGAAGUCUGCAAGGAAGUCUAGCAAGGAAUAUGAUAGGUCCAACGAGGUUGUCAGAAGGAAGUCAGAUAAAGAUACAUUAUUUUUGGAGGAGCAUAGUGGUGGCGAGCAUCACCGAGUGAAGGAGAAGGGGAGGGAGCUUGAGGCAGAGAAGUCGAAAGAAAGCAAGCUAGUGUUGAUGCUCAAGGAAGACGGUAUGGAUCAGCAGUAUAAGAUUGUCAAGGAUAGGAGUAAGGAUCAUGAAAAGGGGAGUGAGGGCAGGCAUGAUGCAUCAUUGAAAGCUACGCCAAGAAACAAAGAGGUGAAAACACGAGAUUUGGACAGCGAUAAAACAAAGAAUUAUUCUAAUGGAGGAACUGAUGCAGACCGUCAUCGUGAAGAUGAGUUACACGGUGGAGAUUCAGAAAAGAAUGGGAGGCACAGGAAAACAAAGGAUCAGUCUGCCGCGAAAGAUGAGUUACAAAGUGGCAGCAAGGGAAGGCAAACCAUGCCUCGGGAUGUUCGUACCAAAACUGAUGGAUGUUAUGAGCAGCAACACACAGAUGGGAAAUUGAAAGAUGACAUGCCUAGAGGUGUGGAAAAACGCAGAGAAGAAAAAUAUAGAGAUGAUAGGUCCAAAGCUCAGGAUAGGCAUAACAAUGACAGACACAAAGAUGACAGACAUAAAGAUGAGGAACUGCAUAGAGAUGAAAGGUACAAAGAGGAAAGGUCGAGACACGAAGAUAGACAUAGGGAUGUAAAAUACAAAGGGGAAAGAUCUAAAGAGGACGACAGAUACAAGGACGAAAGAUACAAAGAUAAGCCUAGAGAUGAAGAGAAACCCAGGAAUGAAAGAUCUGAUAACAGCUCUAGAGAGAAACAUCGAGAUGAUAGUUAUAGACAUCAUAGGAGUCAAGAUGGUGGGUCAUGGGAUGUGCGAUCCUCAAAGGACAACACUAGAGACAGGUCAUUGGAAAAGCACUGCAAAGAGGAACAUAAUUACUCAGAGAGCAGGCACAAUAGAAAUAGACUCCAUGACAAUGAGGUUGACACAUCUGCUGCUGAUCGUAGGAGCUCUAAGUAUAGAGAUGACAGCAAAGGGAAGAAAAGGUCUUAUGAAGACGGCAUUCAUAAUGGUGAUCUGGAACCCAGGAAUGCAAAAGAAUAUCACGGAGAUGCUAAACGCAGGUCUGAUGUAGGCUCAUUUGUAUCCAGUGAAGACCGUAGACGGGAAUAUGAGAAGGUUGAUUCUCGGAGGAGGGAUUUUGAGAGGAAGAGCCCCACCAGAUCCAGCACAUAUCCUGUGAAGGAGCAAAGCAGGCAUGUCUCUAAACAAGAAGAAUCCUCACCCAGGGAGAAUGGUGCUGCUCUUGGAAGACAUAGACGUACAUCUGACUUUCAAUCAGUUGAGGGUCUUAGUAAAACUGAUGCAAAUAACAAUGAAUCCUCUCUUCCCUCGAAAGAUGGUAGAAGUUUGAGAUCUGAUGGCCGACCAAUCCAUUUUAAUGAUAGACCACCAUCAGCGAGUGAUUGUCAAGUUUCGAACCGGAGCAAUCUGGGGCAUAAUCAUGAUACUGUUGAUGGCUCAAUGAAGAAAGGUAAUACCAGAAAUCAUGAGUUAUUGAAUCGUCAAGCUACUGAGAACUAUCAAAGUGCAUCACCAGGGCAUCUCCAUCUGCCACGUGAUAGACCUGAGAUGGACAAUCAAAGAUCCUUUGAUGAUGAUAAUAGGAGCCAGAUUAGAGAACGCAGAUCAAGCAGCCGCUCAAGAAGAAGUGGUACUGUUGAUAAUGCAAGAGGGCAUGGUAACACUUGGAAUAAUCCGUCUUCAUGGCCUUCACCAGCACCAAGUGGUUUUGGUCCUUUCCAGCAUGGGCCUCCAAUCCCUGGUUUUCACCGAGCUAUCCACCAGUUCCCUCAAUCUUUAUUUGGGAUGCGGCCAUCUAUGGAUACGAAUCAUGCUGGGAUGCAUUAUCCUUUGCAUGGACAUCCUGAAAGUUUUCCACAUUGUUCACAACCAUUUCCGUGGCACAAUCCUGCAGAAGACCCUUAUCUCUCUCGGGUACCUGGUUGGGAUGCAAAUAGAAGUGUCUUUGAUGAAUACUCACACAACUAUGGCAGGCAAGAACUGGGCCGGAAUAAUGAUCCUAAUUUUCAUCAGCAGUCAGAGUCGGAGGUGCCAUUUCCAUCUCAUACUCUUGUCAAGCCCUCGUUAAUGCAACUCCCAGCUGAAAAUCAAAGUCAAAGCUCUGAAGUCAAAACAGUUGGGACCAAUGCUGAAAAAACUGAUGCACAUGCUCCAAAAAAUAGAUCUGACGCAACUCCUGGGCCUUCUAAUGUAAAAGUGGAUUCUUGGUUUUGCUCUAACUACUUUAAGAGGCUUGAUAUUUCGACAAGCCUUGCUUCACCAGAGCUGUACAAAAAAUGUAGUACAAUGGCGGGGGAGUUGGAGCUGGCUGGAUCUUGUGAAUCUACCAUGCAUCGGUGCUUGAAGAAUAAUAAAGAUGAGCGCGGGUAUCAAGCUCAAGGUUUCAAAUGCAUGAUAAAGUCCAUAUUUUCAGGGAAAGCAACUUCUGUAUUUGAGAAUGCCAUGAAGCUUUAUAGUUCGAGCACUGGUUCUAGGAAGUCCAAAGCUCUCACAUCAUCUUUACAACCAGAAAGUGAAGAGAUGAUUAAGGAGGCUUCUGCGGACAUGGUGGAGGGAAAAAAUGUUCCUGUCAGCCAGGAUCAGGCAUUGCUUUGUACUGAUAUGUGUGACGAAGUGCACAAUAACGGCGGGCCUCAUCAUGCAGCGGUUGAUAGCAUGCCUGGUAAAGCUGGGCUGGCAAAAGAUUGCAGCAACACAGGAGAAGACAAGGUUGGCUCAGAUGUUGAGGACAAAAGCCUCAGCAUCAACCAUGCUGAGGGGCAUGCUUGUGAUACUGAGGAGCUGCAAUUUCCGAGCAACGGUGAGGGAGAGCUCCUCCCUCCCAAAGCUUUGCAACCUUGUUGCAGCUCGGUAAGCAGUGCUCCUGACGUUUCGAAAGAGCAGUUUUCUGGUGUCAUUUCUGAUGCUACAUUUGCCUCUGGUUCUCAGUCGUGCGAGGAUGUCAUGCCAGGUUGUAGGGUUAAUUUUAACCGGAUACCUUGCUCUCCUGGGAGUACUUAA